GACUCUGUAGUGAAGUUCAUGUUGAGUUGCAAGCUCAUNGAUAUGUGCUCGGAGCNCAUCAGAGUCU
rnacentral:tRNA from 1 species